CCUCUUCCGUCCUAAGCUUUUUUUUCUAGGGUUUCCUCCCGGCGAAACCAUCUCGUCUCCUCCUCGGUCGUGCCUCGCCGGCCCCUCCCCCCGCGAGCAAGAAAUGGCAAGGCAAGCAGGGAACCCAGUAAACCACCAUAUAAGUCCCCAGAUGAUAGGUGGCGCUUUUGUUCGGCAAUAUUACCUCAUUCUACGUGAGCAACCAGACACUAUAGGAAACUCAUUCUACGUGAGCAACCAGACACUAUAGGAAACUCAGGCUUCGCCAAGUGCUCCA